AUCUACCUACGAUCCCGAGUCGUGGACGGAUGCCACGUUUGACGCAAUUGUAGAGAAUAUUCACAAUAUGCACAUCACACCUCCUGGAUGAGCUACGAAAA
rnacentral:ribozyme from 1 species